CAAGCGGGAACUGUUCAAGAGUGAAAUGUUUCUGAAGGUGGCCCUGCAGUUGGCACAAGAAAAGGGACGCUCUCCUGUGUGAGUGCGCAUGCGAGUCCAAGAUUGCAGCUUACAGCAAAAGCAGACGGCCACAGGUCGCCCUGCAGUUUGCACAAGAAAAGGGACGCUCUCCUGUGUGAGUGCGCAUGCGAGUCCAAGAUUGCAGCGAAAGCAGACGGCCGCAGGUACGACAUCUGAAAGUGCCGUUGCCGAAAGGAGCACGGCAUGCCCCUCUCUUCACCUGCGGUCCUUAAUGCCUGGCACAAGCUCUGGAGCUAAAGGUGGCAAUGAUGAAGGUCCUGACAUAAUAAUGGAAAAACGAAGCUUCAAGCCAGGCACUACAGCAGACGAAAUAAUCACUAUAUUGUUAGAUGAUCGGGAGCACCUGCCUCCUCCAGCAAAAAUGUCAAAGCAUUAAAGGGAUAGUGUAGUAAUGGGAGAUGCUACUCAUGAAAAAAAUGCAAGUUUUUUUUUUCAAGGUUACAUAAUAAUUCUUACCAAUUUCACAGGUUUAGGUUCUCUGCUCGAAAAAAGUCAAAGUUGUAAACUCUGUGGUUAAAAUAACAAGAGAUGGUUUGACCGCUUGCUCAGCAAACAUUUUUGUUUUUUUUAGUAGUAUUAUUUUUGAACUACUUUUUCAGAUUGGCUUCAUUUUCAUUUUAGUUUCAUUUAAGUAUCCUGCCGCCUGGUUCUUGGCCCAUCCCCCUCUGUGGGUGAGCGCCAUCCAUGAGAGGUCAUCAUAAUCAUCACUUUUGAAUAGAUUAAGACGGCUCUAAAUAUAGAUAGAGCAACUCACCGUAGAACUUAUUACAAAUUGAUAUUGGCACAUACCCUAUAUAAAAAGUAAACAUUUCAUUGCCUUAAGAUACGGAUUAAAAAGAAACUUUCUUUUUUUUUGAGUAGAAUCUCUCCUUUGUAUGUUUUGUGUUAUUUUGUGUUAUGCAUGCAUGGAAUGUUGCAAGAGACAAUAUUCUAUGCAAGUAUUAACCGUUGGUAAAAUUUCCUAUUUGUGUC